AUUCUUAAACACACCUUCACUUGAAGCUUCUCCUCGACUCAGCCAAGUCGAGGCGACGGGGCUUCCUUCACUCAAGGCGCCGUUGCGUUUCAUGAACACUACUUCACCUUUACUCCGCCAAGGAACGCCUUGAAAAUGCGCCCUCGACUCAAGUGAAGCGUAUCGACCGAGAAAAGCGUCUGAUAUCGAGACUAUUCUUCAAUGUGCUUAUUAAAAGUCCCAUUAUUUAAGACAAAUAUGUGUUACAGUUCAUUCGUCUUCCUAAUCAAACAACUACACGGCGCAAUGCACAACUUUAGCUCGGCAACGCUGCCACUGUGAGCGUUCGACUGAUAGAGCAAGCGGGAGCUGUGUUUGAGGUCUGGCAACAAUCGCAUCCCAACAGCUGAGAGCAUGGCGCAUGGCUGAGAACCAAGAUAACUUGCGCCGGCAUUUGUCCGCUGCUCUUUCUUUCCUAGUGUUUCAUUCGUGACUGACGUUGCGGUUGUUAAUCGCGGUUACGAUGGGUGAUUUCGUCCUUGUGCGUAUGGUGACCGAGCCUGAAUGACUUCUGAGGCCACAGAUGGAACGGCCGAUGGGCAGCUUUGUUUACCUUCAAGACCGAGUGGUGCUGUGAGUUUGCUGAAGGCAACAACAAGACAAGAAAUAUGGGAUGUGGGCUUUGGAAGGACCAGCUGAUGAAAAAAAUCAACGCCUGUGCUGCACAGUAAGGCUUCUGGCAGACCUGAAAGCAUCGAUAGAUAUGGUGCCUGCCUGUUGGAAUUGCACCAGCUCGCUUCCCUGAAAGAAGCUAGGUGCUCAAGAAGUACUUGACUAACCUACCCGCAUUGUCAUUGUGACAGUCUGCAUCCCCAUUUGGCCUAUUUUUGGAUCCCACAAGACACGCUGCUACCCUGGGUUUUGUACCUCGGUCAAUUGCUGAAGUUCUGCAAGCCCCAUUGAAGCCAACCUGUCAUCCGCAUCCAAUGGAAGAAACUCAUGC